UGAAACAAUCCUCAAAUAGCCGGAGCCGAACAGUACACCACUCUGACCACUAGGGGGAGAUAGACGACAAAUGUGGCCACUGACUGAAAUCCAUUGCAUCCUCGGUUGUCUGGCAUGCUGCGUUCAGCACCGGGAACCUCCAGAGAUCUGAUCAAAGGCCCGGCCCACAUGGCGGCAGCGUCAGUUCCUCCUCAUGCCGUCUAGGUGACUCUUGAGGAAAGGCUUUUGUGUCAACGCGGCUACACCCUUCCUGCCUGCAGGACGGAGCGGUGGGGGCGCAGGGGGGGGCCGACGGGAGACUGAGACUUGGUUUGAUGGAGGCCAGGCUGAGCUCGCUGCUCAGUGAGGUCACAUUUCUGGAGGAAAAAAUAAAUACCAUCCAAUCACGGUCCCCCCCUUCGCCGAGAGGCAUUUAGCGGCGGCUGUGCUGCUGCUCUGUGCAGCAGCGCGCGUCUGAGUGCAAUGCCCGUCUUUCAAGGCUCUUAAAGCAAUUACGCUCAGAAAAAUAGCAGCAUUCUCACGGUUUGCAGGAAAUAGCUGCAGUUUUAAUCUCUGGUGUUUAAAAGAAAAAAAAAAA